GGAAGGGGAGCAUCUAUGUGUGCCUGAACUUCUUAGGGCUAUGUUUGAAGCCAGCUCGUGACCCUCAGUUAUAGCUUUGAAGAGGUCAAGAGGAGUGGAAACACCUAUAUGUAGCAGAUAAGACGCUAAGGGACCAAAGAAAUGGCUGCAUCUCAUCCUAUCCUGGCUUCAAGGAAAUUUGAUAUGCAGAGCUGCAGCAGUGACUUUGUGACCAGGAGAUGUGAAGCACACUGGAAAAAAAAAUCACAAGAAAACUGUGUAGUUUUUUUGUUGUUGUUUUGUUUUACUCUUUGG